rnacentral:rRNA from 1 species
AGUACGGCGGAACACGAGAAAUUCCGUCGGAAUCCGCGGGGACCAUCCCGCAAGGCUAAAUACUCCCUAGUGACCGAUAGUGAACCAGUACCGUGAGGGAAAGGUGAAAAGCACCCCGGAAGGGGAGUGAAAUAGAUCCUGAAACCGUGUGCCUACAACAAGUCAAAGCUCGUUAAUGAGUGAUGGCGUGCCUUUUGUAGAAUGAACCGGCGAGUUACGAUUGCAUGCGAGGUUAAGUCGAAGAGACGGAGCCGCAGCGAAAGCGAGUCUGAAUAGGGCGAAUGAGUAUGUAGUCGUAGACCCGAAACCAUGUGAUCUACCCAUGUCCAGGUUGAAGGUGCGGUAAAACGCACUGGAGGACCGAACCCACGUACGUUGAAAAGUGCGGGGAUGAGGUGUGGGUAGCGGAGAAAUUCCAAACGAACUUGGAGAUAGCUGGUUCUCUCCGAAAUAGCUUUAGGGCUAGCCUCGGAAUUGAGAAUGAUGGAGGUAGAGCACUGUUUGGACUAGGGGCCCAUCUCGGGUUACCGAAUUCAGAUAAACUCCGAAUGCCAUUCAUUUAUAUCCGGGAGUCAGACUGCGAGUGAUAAGAUCCGUAGUCGAAAGGGAAACAGCCCAGACCACCAGCUAAGGUCCCAAAAUAUAUGUUAAGUGGAAAAGGAUGUGGGGUUGCACAGACAACUAGGAUGUUGGCUUAGAAGCAGCCACCAUUUAAAGAGUGCGUAAUAGCUCACUAGUCGAGUGACCCUGCGCCGAAAAUGUACCGGGGCUAAACAUAUUACCGAAGCUGUGG